GGGCGAGCGUUGUCCGGAAUUAUUGGGCGUAAAGAGCGUGUAGGCGGUUCGGUAAGUCUGCCGUGAAAACCUGGGGCUCAACCCCGGGCGUGCGGUGGAUACUGCCGGGCUAGAGGGUGGUAGAGGCGAGUGGAAUUCCCGGUGUAGCGGUGAAAUGCGCAGAUAUCGGGAGGAACACCAGUAGCGAAGGCGGCUCGCUGGGCCAUUCCUGACGCUGAGACGCGAAAGCGUGGGGAGCGAACAGGAUUAGAUACCCUGGUAGUCCACGCCGUAAACGAUGAACACUAGGUGUUGGGGGAGUCGAAUCCCUCGGUGCCGCAGCCAACGCGUUAAGUGUACCGCCUGGGGAGUACGGCC
rnacentral:rRNA from 1 species